UACAGAGGGGGCAAGCGUUGUUCGGAAUUACUGGGCGUAAAGGGCGCGUAGGCGGCCUGUUAAGUCGAACGUGAAAUCCCCGGGCUCAACCCGGGAACUGCGUCCGAUACUGGCAGGCUUGAGUCCGGGAGAGGGCAGUGGAAUUCCGUGGUGUAGCGGUGAAAUGCGUAGAUAUCAGGAGGAACACCGAUGGCGAAGGCAGCUGCCUGGCCUAGGACUGACGCUGAGGUGCGAAAGCGUGGGGAGCGAACGGG
rnacentral:rRNA from 1 species